rnacentral:pre_miRNA from 1 species
AGUAGAAUUGAUGGGUUAUAUGAUAACUAAGUUUACCCUUUUGAGAACUGCCAGACUGUCUUCCAAAGCAACUGUACCAUUUUACAUUUCUACCAGCAAU